rnacentral:snRNA from 1 species
ACUGUGACCUGGGAGAUGUAAGAAAAAUAAACCAUUUCUUCCCCAAGUUGGUAGUGGUCAAAGUGUUUUGUCACAGCAGUGGAGAAACAAAUUAGAACACCUGUGAUUUCCCCAAAUGCGGGCAACUCAACUGCAUAAUUUGUGGUAGUGGGGGACUGCAUUCACCCUCU